UGCAACCAGCCCUAAAUCAAAAAAGCUGACUUCUCCCAGGAGUUUAAAGCCCUGUCUCACACAUUAAAUUGUAAUUUGCAGGCAAGUCUGGGCUCAGAAAUCCUCCAAUAAAGCAGAUGAAUAAUCAACAUGAAUUGGAUAGAAAGAGUCUCUCUCUGCCUUUCACUUGCCCUUAUCACUUUGCACACAAACAGCACCCUGGAUGAUGUCUACAAGAUGAUAAGACCACAAAAGGAUUCAACUGGAUCAGAAAAUUUCAUUAUUCAGAAACAAGAUGGUCCAAAUUGGGUAGUUUGAGUAAGAAGGCAAACAGCUGACUGCAUAAAGGACCUGUGAGGUCACCAGUUCUGGAUUUUACCAGGCAACAGUAAUGGAGUGACCUAGAGGAUCUUCUCUCUAAUGUUAGCUCUCUGUGGAGACAGUCACUCAACCAAAUCCCCAACCGGAUUAAAGGUUGGUGUAGACCAUGGAUUUCUCUUGCAGGAUACAAUUUCUCUUUUAUAGCUCUAGUUUCUCUUGUUUGCAGUCAGACAAAGGCUAUUUUGAUUCCACCAUCUUAGAUCUCCUCCCAGAGCAGCAAUCUCUUAAAAGAGUCCUGAAGAAACUGGGAUUUAUGAUCUUGCAAGUCACAGACUUGGUCUUGGAAUCCCUGAUGGAGAAGCUUCCAACUCUUCCACAGAGUCAUCACCCUGGAGAACGGAGCCCAGAGCAGCUGGCAGCUGACAAAGGAACUCACUCCAUGGCCAAAAAUGGAGAACCAGCCAGUUUUCGACAGAACACUGGUUGUACCAAUACUAUGAGCCUCUUCUCCAUGAACUACUUCUAGAGCAUAGAGGCUAGACAUUAAGUAAAGUCUUCUGAUCAGUAAGAAUCACUGUAGAAUAGUGAAACAAGCAAGGCCUUUACAUGACACUGUGGUUUGAAUCCUACCUUCUCCAUUAGCAAUUUAUUUUUUGACAUGAUAGGCCUUUCGACUUUAUGAAUAACACAUUCUGGGGUUGAAACUUAGAGGUUAUUCCAAGGAUUAUUGGGAGAAAUAACUAAGUUAAUGUGGAAAUAUCCAAAACUGAAUGGGAACUCCAGAAAUCCAGUCAUCUCCACAGACUCACUUCCUCUGAUAGGCCCUCAAGUAAUGAAAUUCAAGACAGAUAAUGACCUAUUUUGUAAGAGAGCAAAUUAAAUUAUGAAAGGAUUCACGACGUGUUGUUGAAGUAACUGAGAAUGUCUGAGCAGGAGAGAAGAAGAUGAGUUAAAAGUAGCCAUUACUACUACCCAUCCUGGAAGAAAGUUUUCCCCCAAAUGCAGGACUAAGCAUAAUACCAGUGUGUCGAAGGCACAGAGAAGAGAGAGCAAUUCAGCAUUCUCAACAGGCAGAAUUUCCCAAAGAGAACAGCUGAGACAUUGAAAAGCACUUGACGCUGACAUCGGACACUGAAAAGCAAAACCCCUCGAUUUGGGAGUCUCUAAUUCCAUUCUUCUCUUCAAGCCAAGCAGCUACACUGAGCUUGAUCCAUGAGAAAUCUCACCACUGUGGCUGAGCACAUGCUUCAGAGAGCACCUGAGCUGACAUCACUCCCCUGCCCUUUCUCAGAUUCUAUUUUCUUACUCGUCUAGGGACUGUGGGCCUGAUUGUUCUAAUCCAAAUGGAUGUCCAACACUAAACACAUUCUCUUCCCUUCUCUCUCUUUAACCCAACCCUCAAUUUCUCUGGGUUCCAUGGCCACUAACUAACCUCACAGAACUAAAGAGAAAUGGCGCAGUCAUAAGUGAGCAGUCACCUUCUCCCUCCUCCCAGUCCUCUGGGAGUCUCUGAAGUCUCUGUCCCCACUGACACUUUCACUCUGUAUGUAAAAUUAUACUUAAGAAUCUUAUUAAUGAGAGCAUAAGUAUUUUUUCUUUUAUGCUUUGGGU
ensembl:lncRNA